rnacentral:tRNA from 1 species
GUGGUCGGUGAGGGGCAGGUCGAUCUCGACGAUCGCGGCGCCGACGGCGCGGAAGCGUUCGAGGGCGCGUUCAAGCGUGGCGGCCACGCC